UAUAUUUUAGUAUAUGAUGUACAAAAGUUUUUGAAACUUUAAGAAAUAAUUAAAUUUUAUUAAAUAUAC
rnacentral:tRNA from 1 species